GAAGGUAUAGCUCAGUGAUAGAGUGCAUGCUUAGCAUGCACAAGGUCCUGGGUUCAAUCCCCAGUGCCUCUA
rnacentral:tRNA from 1 species